rnacentral:tRNA from 1 species
AGUAGUAUAUUUUAAAAAGAAAAAUAUCAUUUUGCAAAAAUGAAGUUACUUUAUAGUUAUUACUU